rnacentral:rRNA from 1 species
UACGUAGGGGGCUAGCGUUGUCCGGAUUUAUUGGGCGUAAAGAGCGUGUAGGCGGCCAGAUAGGUCUGCUGUGAAAACUCGAGGCUCAACCUCGAGAUGUCGGCGGAAACCAUUUGGCUAGAGUCCGGAAGAGGAAAGUGGAAUCCUGGUGUAGCGGUGAAAUGCGCAGAUAUCAGGAAGAACACCCGUGGCGAAGGCGGCUUUCUGGGACGGUACUGACGCUGAGACGCGAAAGCGUGGGGAGCGAACAGG